AAAACGGAGCUUCUCAAUUUAAUGAACUUUCACCUAGCAAGCAGGCCAUUGGUCUGUCUAGCUCGAUAUUGUAGUUCAAUAUUGUCUGCACUAACCGGCAGCGGCUCUCAAACAGGGGGCAUUCCCACCUUACCGGAAGAUGCCAAGAGCUGAACCUAGGACAAAGUAUGUGAUCUGAAACUAAUAUAUUACCCUUUCUCGAUUACUCUGUAAUGUACAAUGUAAUGGCAUUUCUGGAGUAGAGGGUGUGAGAAACCCCUUAAUAAACGUGUUCCUGGAAUGUCUGUAUUUCAGACGGAGGCAUUUGCGAGGAAUUGCGCUGACCUCGUAUUAUCAUUACUUAUUAUUAAUAGCGAACCAUCGGUGCAGGCGCGCUUUAUCAUUUGACAAACGGAGGGAUCCUGCGGAGGGGCAAAUCAUUCCCUGAAGCAAGAGACUUACCCCCACGUUAUACCGUUCCAGUCAUGAUUCCUGUAAAGACGCACCUCAACAAAAGUUGUUGCCUUUAAAACUUUUUUUAUUUGUUCUUUCUCUCUCAAAAAAAGUUACAUAAACAAUGGCAGCGGAAUUUGUUAAAAAAUAAACGGAUCGUGUAAAAAGUCGUUUGGUUUAAAAAAAGAUAAAACAGAACCAGUAGCAAACAUCCAGUAAUAAAUAAACAACCUGUCGCUAAAACAUCACAAAAGCAAAUGAAAUGGACAUAAAUGUUUGACACGACAAACAAAAAUGGUAGUUUCCCGCGUUCCCUUCCCCCCACCCCAUGCUGUUUGCAAAUGAGUUUAAUAAUGACGAUUAGAGACAUGGCUGAGUUCGACAUUGGUAUAUUAAUCCAAUUGGCAGUGAGUCGCUUUUCUUUUGGAGCCGCGUCUCUCAGUCUCCACUCCCGGCGGCUUAUAAAGUGCUUGCGCCAAAUCCCACCUACAGAAGACGCCAACAUUCGGUUUGGAUGAACGUUGAGGAAAAGCUAAGCAGGAUACAAACAAAAAACCGCUCCCCCUAUUUACAGCCCGGGAAGAAAGGGAUACCCACGAACGCUGCCCUCUCCACCGGUCCUCCUCGUUUGCGCUUAGAAUUUGUACAGCGACUCUGUAUUCGGGAUGCUUUGCAAGCGGCCAGGUUGCAAGGAAAGGCACUUGCCUUUUCGCUAGCAAAAGCCAAACACCCCUUGGGCUGACGGGGACACCGGGGCGGAUGGCUAGAAGGCAGGUCCGCCUAGGGACCCCUCGCUCCGGAGGAAUUGAUCCUAAGCGAACUCUAUUGGAAGGAAGGCUGCAGUCAUGAGCGCACAAGAGCCCCACUGAACACGCUGGGGGACUGCUUAUGUAACUAAGCGCGGAAGUAGAUUGAUUUACAUCAAGGGGGAUUCCUUGCAAGUACAUGUAGCGAGGACAAAACAGCCCUGCGUUUGGGAAGGCGGAGGGGCGCACACCAAGUCGGCGGACCCAAAAGAACCGACAACCAAACUCAGACCACUAGUAUAACCACAAUCUUCAGGCUCCCCAGGGAAGCUUGUGGGACGGAUGCAGCGAGG